GACGAACGCUGGCGGCGUGCUUAACACAUGCAAGUCGAGCGGUAAGGCCCUUUCGGGGGUACACGAGCGGCGAACGGGUGAGUAACACGUGGGUGACCUGCCCUCAGCUCUGGGAUAAGCCUGGGAAACCGGGUCUAAUACUGGAUAUGACUCCAUGACGCAUGUUGUGGGGUGGAAAGCCUUGUGCGGCUGAGGAUGGGCCCGCGGCCUAUCAGCUUGUUGGUGGGGUGANGGCCUACCAAGGCGACGACGGGUAGCCGGCCUGAGAGGGCGACCGGCCACACUGGGACUGAGACACGGCCCAGACUCCUACGGGAGGCAGCAGGUGGGGAAUCUUGCGCAAGUGGGCGAAAGCCUGACGCAGCGACGCCGCGUGAGGGAUGACGGCCUGGU
rnacentral:rRNA from 1 species